rnacentral:lncRNA from 1 species
UUUAAAUCAUUUAAUUAUGAUUCCGAUGUUUGAAAGUUAUAGCCGGCCAAACUAGCUGACUUGAGAACCGAUUAUGAAGUUAUGAAGUUUUGAGGAACACCUAUAGUAACAGUUAUAUCACUAUAGGCCCGGUAGUGACAGAUUUGAAUUAUUUUAAAUUUUUCAAUUUCUGGAAAAUUCGAAAAUGAUUAAAAAUAAAAUGUUUGAUAUUUACAGAUGUUGAGGUAUAGGAUAAGAGUCUUAGACUCAGUAUUUACCCGAUAAAGCUGUCGGUACGCCGACAAAUGUCAGACCCUAUAAUAGAAAGAAAAGGCUUCUGUAAGAGCAUGGAUGAGAUAUUUGAAAAAUGUAUAAAAAUAUUUCAAGUAUAGAAUAUGAACUAAAAGUAUGAUCACUGCGAUUAUGUGAUGACGUGAUUAGACUAUGUGCUGACUGUAAUAGACAGUACUAUGUGUUAUGAUAUAUUGUUCUAAUCGAACGAAUGAUCUGAUUAUUGAUAGGUUGUGAUAAAGAGAUAAAACCUAAGUUGAGAUUUGUAAUCAGCGAAUCAGGCAAGUAUCUUACCUUUGCAUUUCCUUUAUGCAAUGGACAUGAG